AGCGCGUCUGAUUUGAUGCUUGCAUUAAUGAAAGAUGAGCGGCGGACGGGUGAGUAACGCGUGGGUAACCUGCCCUAUACACAUGGAUAACAUACUGAAAAGUUUACUAAUACAUGAUAAUAUAUAUUUACGGCAUCGUAGAUAUAUCAAAGUGUUAGCGGUAUAGGAUGGACCCGCGUCUGAUUAGCUAGUUGGUGAGAUAACUGCCCACCAAGGCGACGAUCAGUAGCCGACCUGAGAGGGUGAUCGGCCACAUUGGAACUGAGACACGGUCCAAACUCCUACGGGAGGCAGCAGUGGGGAAUAUUGCACAAUGGGCGCAAGCCCGAUGCAGCAACGCCGCGUGAACGAUGAAGGUCUUCGGAUCGUAAAGUUCUGUUGCAGGGGAAGAUAAUGACGGUACCCUGUGAGGAAGCCCCGGCUAACUACGUGCCAGCAGCCGCGGUAAUACGUAGGGGGCGAGCGUUGUCCGGAAUUACUGGGCGUAAAGGGUUCGCAGGCGGCAUGGCAAGUCCGAUGUAAAAGGCGAAGGCUCAACCUUCGUAAGCAUCGGAAACUGUCAAGCUUGAGUGAAGGAGAGGCAAGUGGAAUUCCUAGUGUAGCGGUGGAAUGCGUAGAUAUUAGGAGGAAUACCGGUGGCGAAGGCGACUUGCUGGACUUCAACUGACGCUGAGGAACGAAAGCGUGGGUAGCAAACAGGAUUAGAUACCCUGGUAGUCCACGCCGUAAACGAUGAGUGCUAGGUGUCGGGGGUCAUACCUCGGUGCCGCCGUUAACACAAUAAGCACUCCGCCUGGGGAGUACGUGCGCAAGC
rnacentral:rRNA from 1 species